rnacentral:tRNA from 1 species
ACGGCUGUGGUCUAGUGGUAUGAUCGGAGCUUCCCAAGCUCUUGGUCCGGGUUCGAUUAUGUGUAAAGUGUGUAGCCUCGCAUGUCACUGCUUUCGCAUCGCAAGUCCCGGCAGCCGUA